AUACUUACUUGGCGUGGGGGUUACCGUGAUCAUCAAGGCGGUUCCCUCAGAGCGAGGUCCUUCCAUUGCACUGAGGUUGGACUGACCUCUGUGAUUAUCACUAAUGUUGGUAAUCGGACGCGUAAUUUUUGGUAGUCGGGGCUGCGUUCGCGCUGUCCCGGU